ACCACCGAGUAAACAACACGUCUCUAGAACAGCUCCGAAAACCCUUUGUAGUUAUUCUUCUCUGGUUCCCUAAUAGUUCGCCGCGGGUGUUUCGUCUACCUUUUUGCCGUACAUAUUAAUUGGCGACGAGGAAAACUAUUAUAAAGUUAAAAACGCGUGUGAUUUUUUUUUUCGUUUGGAAAUUCCCGGUGAAAUUGUGUGGAAAAAAAGGCCCCGGGCGGAGGCGCGAUUUCUGCAGCAGCAGUGAAAGAUCGGUUUAAAGACCCGUCGGCAGGGCGACGAAUUUUUUGCAGCUGUUUGGCCGUUUUGUCGGAUAGUUUCGCUGGCAUUAUAAUAGCAAUCAGAUCGCGACAGGCUGUUGCCUCCCGCUAAAGAGCAGCCGUACAUUUCAAUUCGUUUGGAUUCACUCUGUGUGGAGGUGGACUGGUGCUGACUGGCUUUGACAUCGUGACGUUUGUAGCGACAAUUUCCGGCCCGGACGAUUUUUGUGGAGAAUGCGUUUCGUUUGAGUUUCCGGUAAAGUUACCCAGGUAUCGGGAAAAGGUUAAAUUGAAAUUGAUUACGAUUGAAAACGGUAUGAUUACCACGGCGCAUCGAAGUCAAGUUAAGAUCACCGACGAUGCGGCAGCCGUGUGCGGCGAGGGAUGGUGGUGCAUGUCGACCGUACUGUCGAUAACCCUGGUCCAUCACCACCACCACCAUUGCAAGAAACGAUCCAAGAAGACGAGCCGUGUGAGGAGUCCUUACGGAGUUUCCCGGAGUGCGAGUUGUGCGAUGUCGAAUCUCAUGUGGUUAAGCCGAAUCGAAAAUGGAAGUCUGAUGCAAAUUUGGCGCUCGAUGGCCUGCCGAGGCGUUCGAAGAAAACGCGGAGUAAUCAUGAAAAUGAAUUCAAAUAUUUUUGAUGUUAAAUGAUCGAAUUAAUUGUUUUUAUUUAAUUAAUAGAUAACUAUUAACUCGAAAAAAGGAAGGACUAAUAUGUACUUCAAAUGUACUAAACAUGUUUGAGAGUGUACGCUAUAAAAAGAUUUAUAGUAAGCGGUCCGAUACCGCUUAA